rnacentral:tRNA from 2 species
GCAGUCGUGGCGGUAUGGUUAAGGCGAUAGACUAGAAAUCUAUUGGGGUCUCCCCGCACCGGUUCAAAUCCUGGCGAAUGCG